CUGGCGGCGUGCUUAACACAUGCAAGUCGAGCGGAAAGGCCCCUUCGGGGGUACUCGAGCGGCGAACGGGUGAGUAACACGUGAGCAACCUGCCCCUGACUCUGGGAUAAGCCCGGGAAACUGGGUCUAAUACCGGAUGUGACGCACUCUCGCAUGGGAUGUGUGUGGAAAGUUUUUCGGUUGGGGAUGGGCUCGCGGCCUAUCAGCUUGUUGGUGGGGUGAUGGCCUACCAAGGCGACGACGGGUAACCGGCCUGAGAGGGCGACCGGUCACACUGGGACUGAGACACGGCCCAGACUCCUACGGGAGGCAGCAGUGGGGAAUAUUGCGCAAUGGGCGGAAGCCUGACGCAGCGACGCCGCGUGAGGGAUGACGGCCUUCGGGUUGUAAACCUCUUUCAGCAGGGACGAAGCUAACGUGACGGUACCUGCAGAAGAAGCGCCGGCUAACUACGUGCCAGCAGCCGCGGUAAUACGUAGGGCGCAAGCGUUGUCCGGAAUUAUUGGGCGUAAAGAGCUCGUAGGCGGUUUGUCGCGUCUGUCGUGAAAGCCCACGGCUUAACCGUGGGUCUGCGGUGGAUACGGGCAGACUAGAGGCAGGUAGGGGAGAAUGGAAUUCCCGGUGUAGCGGUGAAAUGCGCAGAUAUC
rnacentral:rRNA from 1 species